rnacentral:rRNA from 1 species
GGCGCACGGGUGAGUAACGCGUAUCCAACCUUCCCAUUACUGUGGGAGUAAACCUGCCGAAAGGCAGACUAAUACCGCAUAGUCUUCGAUGACGGCAUCAGAUUUGAAGUAAAGAUUUAUCGGUAAUGGAUGGGGAUGCGUCUGAUUAGCUUGUUGGCGGGGUAACGGCCCACCAAGGCGACGAUCAGUAGGGGUUCUGAGAGGAAGGUCCCCCACAUUGGAACUGAGACACGGUCCAAACUCCUACGGGAGGCAGCAGCA